rnacentral:rRNA from 1 species
UACGAAGGGGGCUAGCGUUGUUCGGAAUCACUGGGCGUAAAGCGCACGCAGGCGGAUCGUUAAGUCAGGGGUGAAAUCCCGAGGCUCAACCUCGGAACUGCCUUUGAUACUGGCGAUCUUUGAGUCCGGGAGAGGUGAGUGGAACUCCGAGUGUAGAGGUGAAAUUCGUAGAUAUCGGGAGGAACACCAGGGGCGAAGGCGGCCACCUGGACAGACACUGACGCUGAGACGCGAAAGCGUGGGGAGCAAACAGG